GUUAGCACAGGUUGAGACACUGAUUUGAGGUUAUGUCACUUCCAUUGCUACUGUUGUCUCUGCUAUGCCAUUUAAACCCAGCCGUUCUGGUUCAUGGUUCUCUCUUGCUAUACUGCUGAUGGCACUGCUAGGAGUUACCUUUGGCACUCUGUCCAUACUGGCAGCAACUGUGGCAAGUUUUAAGGCUGUUGGCGAUGGUGCUGA
rnacentral:lncRNA from 1 species